CGUGGGUAACCUACCUCAUAUGGGGGAUAACAGUCGGAAACGACUGCUAAUACCGCAUAGGACAUGGGAUCACAUGAUUCCGUGAGGAAAGGUGGCGCAAGCUAUCGCUAAGAGAUGGACCCGCGGUGCAUUAGCUAGUUGGUAGGGUAACGGCCUACCAAGGCAAUGAUGCAUAGCCGACCUGAGAGGGUGAUCGGCCACAUUGGGACUGAGACACGGCCCAA
rnacentral:rRNA from 1 species